rnacentral:rRNA from 1 species
CACGUAGGGCGCAAGCGUUGUCCGGAAUUAUUGGGCGUAAAGGGCUCGUAGGCGGUUUGUCGCGUCGGGGGUGAAAACCUUGGGCUUAACUCAGGGCUUGCUUUCGAUACGGGCAGACUAGAGGUAUGCAGGGGAGAACGGAAUUCCUGGUGUAGCGGUGAAAUGCGCAGAUAUCAGGAGGAACACCGGUGGCGAAGGCGGUUCUCUGGGCAUGAUCUGACGCUGAGGAGCGAAAGUGUGGGGAGCGAACAGG